GACGAACGCUGGCGGCGUGCCUAAUACAUGCAAGUAGAACGCGCAGUUUAUACCGUAGCUUGCUACACCAUAGACUGUGAGUUGCGAACGGGUGAGUAACGCGUAGGUAACCUGCCUGGUAGCGGGGGAUAACUAUUGGAAACGAUAGCUAAUACCGCAUAAUAUUAAUUAUUGCAUGAUAAUUGAUUGAAAGAUGCAACUGCAUCACUACCAGAUGGACCUGCGUUGUAUUAGCUAGUAGGUGAGGUAACGGCUCACCUAGGCGACGAUACAUAGCCGACCUGAGAGGGUGAUCGGCCACACUGGGACUGAGACACGGCCCAGACUCCUACGGGAGGCAGCAGUAGGGAAUCUUCGGCAAUGGACGAAAGUCUGACCGAGCAACGCCGCGUGAGUGAAGAAGGUUUUCGGAUCGUAAAGCUCUGUUGUAAGAGAAGAACGGGUGUGAGAGUGGAAAGUUCACACUGUGACGGUAUCUUACCAGAAAGGGACGGCUAACUACGUG
rnacentral:rRNA from 1 species